GUCUGAAGUUGCUGGAAUACCUUUCUUCAGCUGGAAUACUUUACACAGCCCUCCAACACACACUGAAACAGGAACAAUGCAAAGGGCAGAAACAGAAGAGAGGUGUGUUCAAAAUGAUAUCCAAAGUGCCUUCAAAAGAUCAUCUAUAUUAAUCCUCAACAACUGUGACCAUUCUCCUCUGUCUUCAAAUUCAUUUCCAUCUGUUUUUGAAUGUUGAUGCAACACCCACCACAUUGCCAUCUUUUCACUGCAGCCUCCUCAAUGUAUUUGGAUAAGACUGGCUACACUGUACUUCCAAACCUCUCUCUAUCUCAUGGCACAUGCAGACCUAUUCAGAAAGCGCACACUGGUUCCUGGAACUGAAAACCAGCUGACAAAAACUUGGAGCUGAAACAAGCUUUGAACUUCCUGAAUGACAAUCAAGACAUAAAUUUCAUUUCUAAAAUAGAACCCAAGUCACACAGAAAAACAUUGAAAAUUGUACUGCUGUAAUAGAUGCUAGGAUAUACUAUGCAGAGGGAAUUUUUAGCUUCAUGAACCAGUAAAACAUAAUUCAAAAAAACUGAACACCACCACACUUUAGAUAGUACCAAGCCCUAAAAGUCUUCUUGUAACAAAGUUCUUAGCUUUAUGGCAUACUUAUGCGUGGGAUUUUUUAGUUUUAUUUUUUUUUUUAAAGGAACAGCAAACACUUGCUAAUACUAGUGCAACAGCCUAGGUUGUAAUUUCCUCAGUGCAAUGCCAUGGACAUUAGCACCAAGGCCCUGCUGUAUCAGUCACUGAAUUCAGUGGAAACUCAACAACUUCAGCAGACAUGGAUUCAAGCUCUUAAGCACAGCACAGCUACAGAAGCCACACACCAAGAAACAGACCAUAGCAGUCCUCCCUGAAUUCUGGCUGCACUGGGGUCGUCUCCAGUAACAUACACAUGAAGCAUUUUAUUCCUGUUGAAAAGCAAUCUAUGAGAAGGGAAGUUUCAAUUCUUCUUAAUCCACUCCGGAACGCCAAAUAAGCUCUCAGUGAACUGAAGCUGAAGAUACACACAAUACUGUGCUAAGAUCGUUCAGAUGUGACUGACUUCUCUGACAUUAGUAGAUCAUUCUGUCAACUCUUAGGCUCUGUGCCCUGGAUCUGAUCUGAUCCUGGUAAAGAUGAACUGCAGGACUAUCCUCUGUUUGCAUUAUGAGGCUACCUGGACACUCAGGUACUGUAAAUACCUGUUAGGUUUCUCUGUUUUGAAUUAGCAAUAUUUGGCUACACAGUCAGCUGAAGGGGGAAGACAUCAUCCAGCUGAGGGAGAUCAAUGCUGAGCUCACAAAAGAGUGAAACACUGGACUGAAGGAUAAGCUGGCCAAUGCAGCAUCUUUAAUUUGAUUCCAGUUCAAACUUUUUGAGAACAUUUAUGGCUAACUGUCUCCUAGAAAUCAUUUCCCCCCCUAUAUUUAGAGAGAGAAUCUUUUUUCUUUAAUAUUUUUGUAUAUUUGUCUAGUUUUAUUGUGGUACACAGUCUUUUAUUCCUGAGUGUAUGUAAACUAUCAGCCACCACUGCUCAGGUACUGGCAGAGAAUGAGUUUUGUGACAGUAGUUUGGUUUCUUACACAUCCUAAUAAGCAAGUAUUUGUACAGAUCUAAUCUUCAAGUUCUUUACAUGAAGUAAGUUACACUUACUACUCAAAUCCUCAAACCUUAGAAUUAGGUUAUCUAAAAAAUCCUUUUCUCUCUUUUUCUUUUUACUCCUCAAUUUGUAGAUUGAGUUUUGGCAGCUAAAUAUAUCAAAUUGACAUUUUUAAAGAUAGUUAUAUAUGGAUAAAAUUCAGAUGAGCCAUCUACCACAACUAUGUACUUGUUUGUACUUGUUACCAUCUCUGCUUACUGUGAGAU